rnacentral:rRNA from 1 species
GAUGAACGCUGGCGGCGUGCCUAAUACAUGCAAGUCGAGCGAACGGACGAGAAGCUUGCUUCUCUGAUGUUAGCGGCGGACGGGUGAGUAACACGUGGAUAACCUACCUAUAAGACUGGGAUAACUUCGGGAAACCGUAGCUAAUACCGGAUAAUAUUUUGAACCGCAUGGUUCAAAAGUGAAAGACGGUCUUGCUGUCACUUAUAGAUGGAUCCGCGCUGCAUUAGCUAGUUGGUAAGGUAACGGCUUACCAAGGCAACGAUGCAUAGCCGACCUGAGAGGGUGAUCGGCCACACUGGAACUGAGACACGGUCCAGACUCCUACGGGAGGCAGCAGUAGGGAAUCUUGCGCAAUGGGCGAAAGCCUGACGGAGCAACGCCGCGUGAGUGAUGAAGGUCUUCGGAUCGUAAAACUCUGUUAUUAGGGAAGAACAUAUGUGUAAGUAACUGUGCACAGCUUGACGGUACCUAAUCAGAAAGCCACGGCUAACUACGUG